AUCUUGGACAAUGGGCGCAAGCCUGAUCCAGCCAUGCCGCGUGAGUGAAGAAGGCCUUAGGGUUGUAAAGCUCUUUUGCCGGGGACGAUAAUGACGGUACCCGGAGAAUAAGUCCCGGCUAACUCUGUGCCAGCAGCCGCGGUAAUACAGAGGGUGCGAGCGUUGUUCGGAAUCACUGGGCGUAAAGCGCGCGCAGGCGGGACCUGCAAGUCGGGAGUGAAAGGCCGGGGCUCAACCCCGGAGCUGCUUUCGAGACUGCGGACCUGGAGACCAGUAGGGGUUGGUGGAAUUCCCGGUGUAGCGGUGGAAUGCGUAGAUAUCGGGAAGAACACCCGUGGCGAAGGCGGCCAACUGGGCUGGAUCUGACGCUGAGGCGCGAAAGCGUGGGGAGCAA
rnacentral:rRNA from 1 species